rnacentral:rRNA from 1 species
GGGUUGUGAGGUUAAGCGACUAAGCGUACACGGUGGAUGCCCUGGCAGUCAGAGGCGAUGAAGGACGUGCUAAUCUGCGAUAAGCGUCGGUAAGGUGAUAUGAACCGUUAUAACCGGCGAUUUCCGAAUGGGGAAACCCAGUGUGAUUCGUCACACUAUCAUUAACUGAAUCCAUAGGUUAAUGAGGCGAACCGGGGGAACUGAAACAUCUAAGUACCCCGAGGAAAAGAAAUCAACCGAGAUUCCCCCAGUAGCGGCGAGCGAACGGGGAGCAGCCCAGAGCCUGAAUCAGUGUGUGUGUUAGUGGAAGCGUCUGGAAAGGCGCGCGAUACAGGGUGACAGCCCCGUACACAAAAAUGCACAUACUGUGAGCUCGAUGAGUAGGGCGGGACACGUGGUAUCCUGUCUGAAUAUGGGGGGACCAUCCUCCAAGGCUAAAUACUCCUGACUGACCGAUAGUGAACCAGUACCGUGAGGGAAAGGCGAAAAGAACCCCGGCGAGGGGAGUGAAAAAGAACCUGAAACCGUGUACGUACAAGCAGUGGGAGCCUCUUUAUGGGGUGACUGCGUACCUUUUGUAUAAUGGGUCAGCGACUUAUAUUCUGUAGCAAGGUUAACCGAAUAGGGGAGCCGAAGGGAAACCGAGUCUUAACUGGGCGUUAAGUUGCAGGGUAUAGACCCGAAACCCGGUGAUCUAGCCAUGGGCAGGUUGAAGGUUGGGUAACACUAACUGGAGGACCGAACCGACUAAUGUUGAAAAAUUAGCGGAUGACUUGUGGCUGGGGGUGAAAGGCCAAUCAAACCGGGAGAUAGCUGGUUCUCCCCGAAAGCUAUUUAGGUAGCGCCUCGUGAAUUCAUCUCCGGGGGUAGAGCACUGUUUCGGCAAGGGGGUCAUCCCGACUUACCAACCCGAUGCAAACUGCGAAUACCGGAGAAUGUUAUCACGGGAGACACACGGCGGGUGCUAACGUCCGUCGUGAAGAGGGAAACAACCCAGACCGCCAGCUAAGGUCCCAAAGUCAUGGUUAAGUGGGAAACGAUGUGGGAAGGCCCAGACAGCCAGGAUGUUGGCUUAGAAGCAGCCAUCAUUUAAAGAAAGCGUAAUAGCUCACUGGUCGAGUCGGCCUGCGCGGAAGAUGUAACGGGGCUAAACCAUGCACCGAAGCUGCGGCAGCGACACUAUGUGUUGUUGGGUAGGGGAGCGUUCUGUAAGCCUGUGAAGGUGUACUGUGAGGUAUGCUGGAGGUAUCAGAAGUGCGAAUGCUGACAUAAGUAACGAUAAAGCGGGUGAAAAGCCCGCUCGCCGGAAGACCAAGGGUUCCUGUCCAACGUUAAUCGGGGCAGGGUGAGUCGACCCCUAAGGCGAGGCCGAAAGGCGUAGUCGAUGGGAAACAGGUUAAUAUUCCUGUACUUGGUGUUACUGCGAAGGGGGGACGGAGAAGGCUAUGUUGGCCGGGCGACGGUUGUCCCGGUUUAAGCGUGUAGGCUGAUUUUCCAGGCAAAUCCGGAAAAUCAAGGCUGAGGCGUGAUGACGAGGCACUACGGUGCUGAAGCAACAAAUGCCCUGCUUCCAGGAAAAGCCUCUAAGCAUCAGGUAACAUCAAAUCGUACCCCAAACCGACACAGGUGGUCAGGUAGAGAAUACCAAGGCGCUUGAGAGAACUCGGGUGAAGGAACUAGGCAAAAUGGUGCCGUAACUUCGGGAGAAGGCACGCUGAUAUGUAGGUGAAGCGACUUGCUCGUGGAGCUGAAAUCAGUCGAAGAUACCAGCUGGCUGCAACUGUUUAUUAAAAACACAGCACUGUGCAAACACGAAAGUGGACGUAUACGGUGUGACGCCUGCCCGGUGCCGGAAGGUUAAUUGAUGGGGUCAGCGGUAACGCGAAGCUCUUGAUCGAAGCCCCGGUAAACGGCGGCCGUAACUAUAACGGUCCUAAGGUAGCGAAAUUCCUUGUCGGGUAAGUUCCGACCUGCACGAAUGGCGUAAUGAUGGCCAGGCUGUCUCCACCCGAGACUCAGUGAAAUUGAACUCGCUGUGAAGAUGCAGUGUACCCGCGGCAAGACGGAAAGACCCCGUGAACCUUUACUAUAGCUUGACACUGAACAUUGAGCCUUGAUGUGUAGGAUAGGUGGGAGGCUUUGAAGUGUGGACGCCAGUCUGCAUGGAGCCGACCUUGAAAUACCACCCUUUAAUGUUUGAUGUUCUAACGUUGGCCCCUGAUCGGGGUUGCGGACAGUGUCUGGUGGGUAGUUUGACUGGGGCGGUCUCCUCCUAAAGAGUAACGGAGGAGCACGAAGGUUGGCUAAUCCUGGUCGGACAUCAGGAGGUUAGUGCAAUGGCAUAAGCCAGCUUGACUGCGAGCGUGACGGCGCGAGCAGGUGCGAAAGCAGGUCAUAGUGAUCCGGUGGUUCUGAAUGGAAGGGCCAUCGCUCAACGGAUAAAAGGUACUCCGGGGAUAACAGGCUGAUACCGCCCAAGAGUUCAUAUCGACGGCGGUGUUUGGCACCUCGAUGUCGGCUCAUCACAUCCUGGGGCUGAAGUAGGUCCCAAGGGUAUGGCUGUUCGCCAUUUAAAGUGGUACGCGAGCUGGGUUUAGAACGUCGUGAGACAGUUCGGUCCCUAUCUGCCGUGGGCGCUGGAGAACUGAGGGGGGCUGCUCCUAGUACGAGAGGACCGGAGUGGACGCAUCACUGGUGUUCGGGUUGUCAUGCCAAUGGCACUGCCCGGUAGCUAAAUGCGGAAGAGAUAAGUGCUGAAAGCAUCUAAGCACGAAACUUGCCCCGAGAUGAGUUCUCCCUGACUCCUUGAGAGUCCUGAAGGAACGUUGAAGACGACGACGUUGAUAGGCCGGGUGUGUAAGCGCAGCGAUGCGUUGAGCUAACCGGUACUAAUGAACCGUGAGGCUUAACCUUACAACGCCGAAGGUGUUU